rnacentral:misc_RNA from 1 species
GUGAAUCAUCAAAUCUUUGAACGCAAAUUGCACUCUCUUCGGAGAGUAUGCCUGUUUGAGGGUCAGCCUAAAAAAAAUCGACAUAGUCGCUGUUUCACAGUGGCGUUCGUCGGAAAUUGGGUUAUCUUAAAUCUUUGGUUUAAGCGACUUAAAAUUUUCUUUACGAUUCCAUGAACGUUUCUAAGAUUUAUUUCUUUACACGUUUAAGGUAUCGAUUUUUAUUAGGCUUGACCGUCGCAUCGGACCGCGUCCAUAAUGUUGACUUUCGUUAACUGACCUCAGACAGUUAAGAGUACCCG